rnacentral:rRNA from 1 species
GUUGGAAACGACUGCUAAUACCGGAUGAUGACGUAAGUCCAAAGAUUUAUCGCCGAGGGAUGAGCCCGCGUAGGAUUAGGUAGUUGGUGUGGUAAAGGCGCACCAAGCCGACGAUCCUUAGCUGGUCUGAGAGGAUGAUCAGCCACACUGGGACUGAGACACGGCCCAGACUCCUACGGGAGGCAGCAGUGGGGAAUAUUGGACAAUGGGCGAAAGCCUGAUCCAGCAAUGCCGCGUGAGUGAUGAAGGCCUUAGGGUUGUAAAGCUCUUUUACCCGGGAUGAUAAUGACAGUACCGGGAGAAUAAGCUCCGGCUAACUCCGUGCCAGCAGCCGCGGUAAUACGGAGGGAGCUAGCGUUAUUCGGAAUUACUGGGCGUAAAGCGCACGUAGGCGGCUUUGUAAGUAAGAGGUGAAAGCCCAGAGCUCAACUCUGGAAUUGCCUUUUAGACUGCAUCGCUUGAAUCAUGGAGAGGUCAGUGGAAUUCCGAGUGUAGCGGUGAAAUGCGUAGA